GACGAACGCUGGCGGCGUGCUUAACACAUGCAAGUCGAACGGAAAGGCCCUGCUUUUGUGGGGUGCUCGAGUGGCGAACGGGUGAGUAACACGUGAGUAACCUGCCCUUGUCUUUGGGGUAACUUCAGGAAACUGGGGCUAAUACCGGAUAGGAGCUCCUGCUGCGUGGUGGGGGUUGGAAAGUUUCGGCGGUUGGGGCUGUACUCGCGGGUUAUCAGCUGGUUUGUGAGGUAGGGGCGUACCAAGGCUUUGACGGGUAGCCGGCCUGAGAGGGUGAACGGCCACAUUGCGACUGCGGUACGGACCAGACUCGUACCGGCGGCAGCAGUGGGGAGUAUUGCACAAUGGGCGGAAGCCUGAUGCAGCAACGCUGCGUGCGGGAUGACGGCCUUCGAGUUGUAAACCACUGUCGACUGUGACGAAGCGUGAGUGACGGUACCGGGUCAAGAAGCACCGGCUAACUACGUG
rnacentral:rRNA from 1 species